CUACGGGCCGCACCAGUAGGGAAUCUUAGACAAUGGGGGAAACCCUGAUCUAGCCAUGCCGCGUGAGUGAUGAAGGCCUUAGGGUUGUAAAGCUCUUUCGCUGGGGAAGAUAAUGACGGUACCCAGUAAAGAAACCCCGGCUAACUCCGUGCCAGCAGCCGCGGUAAUACGGAGGGGGUUAGCGUUGUUCGGAAUUACUGGGCGUAAAGCGCGCGUAGGCGGGCUAUUAAGUCAGGGGUGAAAUCCCGGGGCUCAACCCCGGAACUGCCUUUGAUACUGGUAGUCUUGAGUUCGAGAGAGGUGAGUGGAAUUCCGAGUGUAGAGGUGAAAUUCGUAGAUAUUCGGAGGAACAUCAGUGGCGAAGGCGACUCACUGGCUCGAUACUGACGCUGAGGUGCGAAAGUGUGGGGAGCAAACAGGAUUAGAUACCCUUGUAGUC
rnacentral:rRNA from 1 species